rnacentral:rRNA from 1 species
AACGAACGCUGGCGGCAUGCCUAAUACAUGCAAGUCGAACGAAACCUUCGGGUCUUGUCGCCUCCGGCUGUGUAACGCGUGGGAACCUGACAUUAGGUUCGGAAAAACACACCGCUAGGGGUGCUAAUACAGGAUAAUGUUUUCGGACCAAAUAUUUUUCGACUUUGGAUGGGCAUGCGUUGAAUUAGCUAGUUGGUAUGGUAAAAGCCUACCAACGCGACGAUCCAUAGCUGGUCUGAGAGGAUGAUCAGACACACUGGGGCCGAGACACGGCCCGGACUCCUACGGGAUGCAGCAGUGGGUAAUAUUGGACAGUGGGCGAAAUCCUGAUCCAGCAAUGCCGGGAGAGUGAUGAAGUCCUUAGGGUUGUAAAGCGCUUUUACCCGGGAUGAUAAUGACAGUACCGGGAGAAUAAGCUCCGGCUAACUCCGUG